rnacentral:rRNA from 1 species
UGGGGGAUAUUGCACAAUGGGCGAAAGCCUGAUGCAGCGACGCCGCGUGGGGGAUGAAGGCCUUCGGGUUGUAAACUUCUUUUGCUCUGAACAAGGCAUGCCUUUGGGGUGUGUUGAGUGUAGGGGUUGAUUAGCGCCGGCUAACUACGUGCCAGCAGCCGCGGUAAUACGUAGGGCGCGAGCGUUGUCCGGAAUUGUUGGGCGUAAAGGGCUUGUAGGUGGCUGGUUGCGUCUGUCGUGAAAGCUCAUGGCUUAACUGUGGGUUUGCGGUGGGUACGGGCUGGCUUGAGUGCAGUAGGGGAGGCUGGAAUUCCAGGUGUAGCGGUGGAAUGCGCAGAUAUCAGGAGGAAUACCGGUGGCGAAGGCGGGUCUCUGGGCUGUUACUGACGCUGAGGAGCGAAAGCGUGGGGAGCGAACAGG